UACGUAGGAUGCAAGCGUUAUCCGGAAUUAUUGGGCGUAAAGCGUCCGCAGGUGGCACUACAAGUCUGCUGUCAAAGGCUGGGGCUCAACCUCAGAACGGCAGUGGAAACUGUAAGGCUAGAGAACGGAAGGGGCAGAGGGAAUUCCCAGUGUAGCGGUGAAAUGCGUAGAGAUUGGGAAGAACACCAGUGGCGAAAGCGCUUUGCUAGGCCGGAUCUGACACUGAGGGACGAAAGCUAGGGGAGCGAAUGGG
rnacentral:rRNA from 1 species